UGGGGAAUUUUGGACAAUGGGGGAAACCCUGAUCCAGCCAUCCCGCGUGUGCGAUGAAGGCCUUCGGGUUGUAAAGCACUUUUGGCAGGAAAGAAACGUCGCGGGUUAAUACCCCGCGAAACUGACGGUACCUGCAGAAUAAGCACCGGCUAACUACGUGCCAGCAGCCGCGGUAAUACGUAGGGUGCAAGCGUUAAUCGGAAUUACUGGGCGUAAAGCGUGCGCAGGCGGUUCGGAAAGAAAGAUGUGAAAUCCCAGAGCUUAACUUUGGAACUGCAUUUUUAACUACCGGGCUAGAGUGUGUCAGAGGGAGGUGGAAUUCCGCGUGUAGCAGUGAAAUGCGUAGAUAUGCGGAGGAACACCGAUGGCGAAGGCAGCCUCCUGGGAUAACACUGACGCUCAUGCACGAAAGCGUGGGGAGCAAACAGGAUUAGAUACCCUGGUAGUCCACGCCCUAAACGAUGUCAACUAGCUGUUGGGGCCUUCGGGCCUUGGUAGCGCAGCUAACGCGUGAAGUUGACCGCCUGGGGAGUACGGUCGCAAGAUUAAAACUUAAAGGAAUUGG
rnacentral:rRNA from 1 species